rnacentral:rRNA from 1 species
CCCGACUGCUAUUUGGGUGAGGAUAAGCCAUGCGAGUCGAAUGGGAUACCUAAAUUUCCCAUGGCAAACUGCUCAGUAACACAUGAUCAACUUACCCUAUGGAGAAAAAUACCCUCGGGAAACUGAGGAUAAUGUUUCAUAGUUGAAAAGGCUUGGAAAAGUUUUUCAAUGAAAGGGAUAAAAAAAAUGGUUUUUAUCUGCCAUAGGAUAGGAUCGUGGUCGAUUAUGGUUGUUGGCGAGGUAACUGCUCACCAAGCCGAUAAUCGAUAGGGGCCGUGAGAGCGGGAGCCCCGAGAUGGGUACUGAGACAACGACCCAGGCCUUACGAGGCGCAGCAGGCGCGAGACCUCCGCAAUACACGAAAGUGUGACGGGGUUACCCAAAGUGUUCUUAUAGAACUGUGGUAGGUGAGUAAUGUUCCCUACUAGAAAGGAGAGGGCAAGGCUGGUGCCAGCCGCCGCGGUAAAACCAGCUCUUCAAGUGGUCGGGAUAAUAUUGGGCUUAAAGCGUCCGUAGCCUGUUUAGUGAGUUCCUGGUAAAAUCGGGUAGCUUAACUAUCCGCGUGCUAGGAAUACUGCUAUACUAGAGGGCGGGAGAGGUCUGAGGUACUACAGGGGUAGGGGUGAAAUCUUAUAAUCCUUGUAGGACCACCAGUGGCUAAGGCGUCAGACUGGAACGCGCCUGACGGUGAGGGACGAAAGCCAGGGGAGCGAACCGGAUUAGAUACCCGGGUAGUCCUGGCCGUAAACGAUGCAUACUAGGUGAUGGCACGGCCAUGAGCCGUGUCAGUGCCGUAGGGAAACCGUUAAGUGUGCCGCCUGGGAAGUACGGUCGCAAGGCUAAAACUUAAAGGAAUUGGCGGGGGAGCACCACAAGGGGUGAAGCCUGCGGUUCA